GAACUCUAGCCAGGAACCACGGCCUACAUUGUCUAACACAAUCCAGAGGUCACAGCUAGGUCCGACAACUAAUUUAUCCCUAGAGAUGGGUACAGGGCAGCUGGCAUCCAGGCAGCAGCAGCAGCAGCAGCAGCAGCAGCAGCAGCAGCAGCAGCAGCAGCAGCAGCAGCAGCAGCAGCAGCAGCAGCAGACAGAAUUGGAUAUGGUACCAGGAAGAGAUGGGCUGGCCAGCUAUAGUCAUUCCCAGGUUUCUGUCCAGCCCGUGGCAACUGCAGGAUCAGAACACAGC
rnacentral:lncRNA from 1 species